CCUACGGGUGGCUGCAGUCGAGAAUCAUUCACAAUGGGGGAAACCCUGAUGGUGCGACGCCGCGUGGGGGAAUGAAGGUCUUCGGAUUGUAAACCCCUGUCAUGUGGGAGCAAAUUAAAAAGAUAGUACCACAAGAGGAAGAGACGGCUAACUCUGUGCCAGCAGCCGCGGUAAUACAGAGGUCUCAAGCGUUGUUCGGAAUCACUGGGCGUAAAGCGUGCGUAGGCUGUUUCGUAAGUCGUGUGUGAAAGGCGCGGGCUCAACCGGCGGACGGCACAUGAUACUGCGAGACUAGAGUAAGGGAGGGGGAACCGGAAUUCUCGGUGUAGCAGUGAAAUGCGUAGAUAUCGAGAGGAACACUCGUGGCGAAGGCGGGUUCCUGGACAUUAACUGACGCUGAGGCACGAAGGCCAGGGGAGCGAAAGGGAUUAGAUACCCGUGUAGUC
rnacentral:rRNA from 1 species